CUUCUAGUGAUCCAAUUGCAGGUCAAUGGAUUGCUUUCGGUUAGGUUGGCCAAUGCAUGUUGAUGCUGAUUUCUUUUGGGUGCCAUCAAUUGAGCAGUCCAAUUUUGACAAAUCUAAUGAACUCUUAUUGACAACCAAAUUGGCAAUCCUAUUAUGUUUGAUUAAAUUGGUUUUAUUUUUUCAUCAAUCCUUUAAUCUCAAUGUAAAUUUUAUGACUAAUUAUGUGAGAAUGGCAUAGCAGAAGAUUGUUUUAAAAGAUGUAUUUGAUUAGCUUGUUUGAUAUUAUGAAUGUUUGAAUC